rnacentral:rRNA from 1 species
GAUGAACGCUGGCGGCGUGCCUAAUACAUGCAAGUCGAGCGAACGGACGAGAAGCUUGCUUUUCUGAUGUUAGCGGCGGACGGGUGAGUAACACGUGGAUAACCUACCUAUAAGACUGGGAUAACUUCGGGAAACCGGAGCUAAUACCGGAUGAUAUUUUGAACCGCAUGGUUCAAAAGUGAAAGACGGUCUUGCUGUCACUUAUAGAUGGAUCCGCGCUGCAUUAGCUAGUUGGUAAGGUAACGGCUUACCAAGGCAACGAUGCAUAGCCGACCUGAGAGGGUGAUCGGCCACACUGGAACUGAGACACGGUCCAGACUCCUACGGGAGGCAGCAGUAGGGAAUCUUCCGCAAUGGGCGAAAGCCUGACGGAGCAACGCCGCGUGAGUGAUGAAGGUCUUCGGAUCGUAAAACUCUGUUAUUAGGGAAGAACAUAUGUGUAAGUAACUGUGCACAUCUUGACGGUACCUAAUCAGAAAGCCACGGCUAACUACGUG